GACGAACGCUGGCGGCGUGCUUAACACAUGCAAGUCGAACGGUAAGGCCCUGCUUUUGUGGGGUGCUCGAGUGGCGAACGGGUGAGUAACACGUGAGUGACCUGCCCUUGACUUUGGGAUAACUUCAGGAAACUGGGGCUAAUACCGGAUAGGAGCUCUUGAGCCAGGGGGGGGGUUGGAAAGUUUCGGCGGUUGGGGUUGGUCUCGCGGCUUACCAGCUUGUUGGUGGGGUAGUGGCUUACCAAGGCUUUGACGGGUAGCCGGCCUGAGAGGGUGACCGGCCACAUUGGGACUGAGAUACGGCCCAGACUCCUACGGGAGGCAGCAGUGGGGAAUAUUGCACAAUGGGCGGAAGCCUGAUGCAGCAACGCCGCGUGCGGGAUGACGGCCUUCGGGUUGUAAACCGCUUUCGCCUGUGACGAAGCGUGAGUGACGGUAAUGGGUAAAGAAGCACCGGCUAACUACGUG
rnacentral:rRNA from 1 species